AAACUUUCAACAACGGAUCUCUUGGUUCUGGCAACGAUGAAGAACGCAGCGAAAUGCGAUAAGUAAUGUGAAUUGCAGAAUUCAGUGAAUCAUCGAAUCUUUGAACGCACAUUGCGCCCAUUAGUAUUCUAGUGGGCAUGCCUGUUCGAGCGUCAUUA
rnacentral:rRNA from 2 species